rnacentral:rRNA from 1 species
UACGUAGGUGGCAAGCGAUACCCGGAAUCACUAGGCGUAAAGCGCAGGUAGGCGGUUCGGUAAGUCUUUUGUGAAAGCUCCCGGCUCAACUGGGAGAGGCCAAGGGAAACUGCCGGGCUAGAGUGUGGUAGGGGAUACUGGAAUUCCUGGUGUAGCGGUGAAAUGCGUAGAUAUCAGGAGGAAUACCUAUGGCGAAAGCAGGUAUCUGGGCCAUCACUGACGCUGAGGUGCGAAAGCUAGGGGAGCAAACAGG